GCUGUCUGGCCAGGGCGACUGGCGGAUAAGGUCUUGUGUGUGGCCUCGAGGCUUAAAAGUAGCAGCGGGGCUUUGUGAAGGACAAAAUGGCGAUGGCGGGCCGUGUAGGUCCCCCUUCCUAUGAUGAGGACCUUUUCACAGACCUGUACUGAGCUCCGUGAGGAUAAGUAACUCUGAGGAGAUGGGCCCUGCAAGCCUCCUGCUUAGCCGUCUCUUCAGAAAAUAGCGUUUUCGAAAUGCCUUGUGUUGACCUAAUGUCUUAUUGGGCUCCUGUCUGCAGGAUUUACGCGCACGUUGGAACCGAAGAGAGCUCUGUUGUUGCAAUGUUCAGCCCACAAGACCUUACUGGUGAAGGAAUGGGACAAGACCCAUCUUUAUGCAAAGCCAGCGUUACAGUAAUGUCCCAGCAUCUCAUAAUCUAUCCUGGGGAAUUCAGCUGCCUCCCAGGGUGAAUACAGGUAUUCCUGAUGACAGUCUGCCUUCUAUCUUACAGAGCAGCUUGUUGCUAUAUACCAUUGAAAAGCCUUCAGAGCUGAGAGGUACUACUAACCAAUAACCUGCUUGGCUCAAAGGGCCAGCACCUUCUCUCUAAAGCCCAAGAGGAGUUUGAGGAAAACUAGGUGUCUGUGUUCACUCCAGGCUGAAGUUACAGGUCUGAGCAAAUAAGGUGUAUAAAAAAUGGAAUCUGUCUUGGAGGACAUCGGAAGGUGAAUUUUCCAAGUCCUUGGACAACCUAGCUGUUGAAAAGCUUUCUGGGUUUGGGGAGUAUUUCAGAUGUACCUUAAAGUGUUAGCAGACACAGAUUAAGACACUGGGAGCCAAUGAAACAGCAGUUGAGGGUUUGCUGUGUAUCACAUUUCUGUAUUUUAUCACCCCCUUCCUGCAACAUUAUUUCUCUGGAAUCUACCUGCCCUUUUGUUUUUUAGAUACAAGGGCUUGGUUUUGUUACCCAGGCUGGUUUCAAGGCCAUAGCUUUAAGAGAUCCUCUCACCACAGAUUUCCAAAGUGCUGGGAUUGCAGGUGUGAUUCAUGGCACCCAGACUUUGCUGCCUUUCUUACAUAAUCCAGGCCCAGAACCCAAACUCAGGCACUGCAUAGAUGACCAGUUUUGUAAACUACUGACCUAGCUUGUUGCCAAUUGUUGAUUGAACUUCCCAUAACUCCACUUCGUGUCUGUUCCUCUGUAUACAGCCACCUUCUGUUCCCAUCAUGAGCCUUUAGGUCUCCAUUUGCAUAUUGCAAAUACUAUGUUCCAUGUAGGUAGCUCAUGCAGGGCCUUGCUCUUCACUUCAAAAAAGGUUCCCUUGAGGACUGGCUGUCAAUUUGUGUUGCUGUGUUGGUUGUUGAUGAAAAUAAUAAAAUGAUUGAUUACAUA
rnacentral:lncRNA from 1 species